rnacentral:rRNA from 1 species
CUACGGGUGGCAGCAGUGGGGAAUAUUGCACAAUGGAGGAAACUCUGAUGCAGCAACGCCGCGUGGAGGAUGACACUUUUCGGAGCGUAAACUCCUUUUAUAUAGGAAGAAGAUGACGGUACUAUAUGAAUAAGCGCCGGCUAACUCCGUGCCAGCAGCCGCGGUAAUACGGAGGGCGCAAGCGUUACUCGGAAUCACUGGGCGUAAAGAGCGUGUAGGCGGAUUAAAAAGUCAGAAGUGAAAUCCUAUAGCUUAACUAUAGAACUGCUUCUGAAACUCUUAAUCUAGAAUAUGGGAGAGGUAGAUGGAAUUUCUGGUGUAGGGGUAAAAUCCGUAGAGAUCAGAAGGAAUACCGAUUGCGAAGGCGAUCUACUAGAACAUUAUUGACGCUGAGACGCGAAAGCGUGGGGAGCAAACAGGAUUAUACCCCCGUAGUC